rnacentral:rRNA from 1 species
GACGAACGCUGGCGGCGUGCUUAACACAUGCAAGUCGAACGGAAAGGCCCGGCUUUGGUGGGGUGCUCGAGUGGCGAACGGGUGAGUAACACGUGAGUAACCUGUCCCUGACUUUGGGAUAACCUCAGGAAACUGGGGCUAAUACCGGCUAGGAGCUCCUGCUGCAGGGUGGGGGUUGGAAAGUUUCGGCGGUUGGGGAUGGACUCGCGCCUUAUCAGCUUGUUGGUGGGGUAGUGGCUGACCAAGGCUUUGGCGCGUAGCCGGCCUGGGAGGGUGACCAGGCUCAUCGGGACUGAGAUACGGCCCAGGCUCCUACGCGAGGCAGCAGUGGCGAAUGUUACAAAAUGAGCGGAAGCCUAAUGCAGCACCGCCGCGUCCGCGAUAACGGCCUUCGGGUUGUAAUCCGCAUUCCCCUGUGACGAGACGUGAAUGACGGUAAUGGGUGAAGAAGCACCGGCUAACUACGUG